UCAAGGCUGCGUUGUUCGUACUCAUAAUAAAGUUUUAACCUUUAAGCUGUUAUAGGGAGUUUUUGAACGAAGCUGGAAUGACAUGCCUCCGCCUACACGGCAAGGGGGACAGGCAGGAACGCUUCUGGAGACACCCACUUUGAGGAGUGGUGGUUUAAAACUUUCUUAUAUUACCUACGGCAAAUGCGGCUUUUCC
rnacentral:other from 1 species